UUAAAAAUUAAAUUGUAUAGUUGUAUAAAUGAAUUGGGAUAUUGAUUUUAUUGUGUGAUUGAGUAGAAGUAAUGCUAUAGAUUAAAGUAUUGUGGAAGAAUUUUGAAAAAUUGAAAAUAGUUUUAUUAAAAAGUUAUGAUUGUACCUUUUGCAUUAGGGAUUAGCUAUAAAAAAUAAGUAUUUAUAUUUCUCGAAACGUUUCGAGCUACUUAUUAAUAUUUAUGUUGUUGUAAAAAUAUAUUAAAUAUUAAGUAGAGAUGAAAUUUUAUAUCAAGAGGUGUGAUAUCUAGUUAUUUAGAAAAAUUAUACAUUUUAAAUAGCUUCAAAUUUUUUAAAAAAGUUAUUGAUUUUCUUUUUAGGGAUAAGCUUGAAUAGAUAAUAUAGAGGUUCGUAGAAUUUGUUGAGGGUUUAAAAAUUACUAGUUAUUUGUAAUAAAAUAACAAUAAGCUGUUUUAGUUUUAUUAAAGGUUUUUUUUGAUAAAUUUUAAUUAAAAGAAUAUAUGUUAAUAUUAGUAUAAAUUGUGAAAUUGUUUAAAUUUGAUGUUGAAAAUUUUUGAGAAAUUAAAUUUAUGGGAAUUAGGCAAUUAUAAUUCUUGAAUGUUUAACAAAAACAUUGUAUUUUGGAUGUGAUAAAAUGUAAGGCCUGCUCAGUGAAUUAUUAAAUUGCUGUGGUAUUUUGACUAUACGAAGGUAUUGAAAUAAGGCUUUAAUUGAGUGCUAAGAGAAUGGUUAAACAAGGAUUAACUUUCUUUAUGUUUAUAAUGUAAGUUGAUUUAAAAAUGAAAAAGUUUUUAUGAGUUUUUGGGACAAGAAGACCCUAUGAAUUUUUUUUUGAGAAAUAUUUAUAAUUUUUUAUAAAGUUAAGUAAAGUAUUGUUUGAAAUUAAUUGGGGUGAUUUUUAAAGAUUAUAAAUCUUUAAAGAUGGGUGGAAUUAGAACCAAAAGUUUUGGUUUUUUGAAUAAAAUACUCUAGGGAUAACAGCGUAAUUAUUUUGGAUAGUUCAUAUAGAUAAAAUAGUUUGCGACCUCGAUGUUGGAUUAAGAUACUUUUGUGAUGUAGCAGUUAUAAGGGGAAGUUUGCUCAACUUUUAAAAUCUUACAUGAUCUGAGUUCAGACCGGCGUGAGCCAGGUUGGUUUCUAUCUAAAUAAAUAGGGAAAUUAGUAUAGUACGAAAGGAAUUAGUAAUUUAAAUUAUUUAUUUUAUGUUAAAAAAUAAAAUUAGUUAAUUUUU
rnacentral:rRNA from 1 species